rnacentral:misc_RNA from 1 species
GAUGAAGAACGCAGCGAAAUGCGAUACGUAAUGUGAAUUGCAGAAUUCAGUGUAUCAUCGAGUCUUUGAACGCACAUUGCGCCCCCUGGUAUUCCGGGGGGCAUGCCUGUCCGAGCGUCAUUGCUGCCCUCAAGCACGGCUUGUGUGUUGGGCCCCGUCCUCCGAUCCCGGGGGACGGGCCCGAAAGGCAGCGGCGGCACCGCGUCCGGUCCUCGAGCGUAUGGGGCUUUGUCACCCACUCUGUAGGCCCGGCCGGCGCUUGCCGAUCAACCCAAAUUUUUAUCCAGGUUGACCUCGGAUCAGGUAGGGAUACCCGCUGAACUUAAGCAUAUCAAUAAGCGGAGGA